AAAAGUAGAAGCAGAG
rnacentral:sRNA from 1 species